CAUUACCGAGUGAGGGCCCUCUGGGUCCAACCUCCCACCCGUGUUUAUUUACCUUGUUGCUUCGGCGGGCCCGCCUUAACUGGCCGCCGGGGGGCUCACGCCCCCGGGCCCGCGCCCGCCGAAGACACCCUCGAACUCUGUCUGAAGAUUGUAGUCUGAGUGAAAAUAUAAAUUAUUUAAAACUUUCAACAACGGAUCUCUUGGUUCCCGCAUCGAUGAAGAACGCAGCGAAAUGCGAUACGUAAUGUGAAUUGCAAAUUCAGUGAAUCAUCGAGUCUUUGAACGCACAUUGCGCCCCCUGGUAUUCCGGGGGGCAUGCCUGUCCGAGCGUCAUUGCUGCCCUCAAGCACGGCUUGUGUGUUGGGCCCCGUCCUCCGAUUCCGGGGGACGGGCCCGAAAGGCAGCGGCGGCACCGCGUCCGGUCCUCGAGCGUAUGGGGCUUUGUCACCCGCUCUGUAGGCCCGGCCGGCGCUUGCCGAUCAACCCAAAUUUUUAUCCAGGUUGACCUCGGAUCAGGUAGGGAUACCCGCUGAACUUAA
rnacentral:rRNA from 1 species